GUUGGAUGAAAAUCAUCCCGGGCUUUGCCAGUGGCCGCGAGCGAGAUUCAGUGCCCAGAACUUCCAGGGGCCUCAGCUCACCAUGCACUGCCCCAUGUGUGGCAAUGAAACCCAGGCCCUGACAGGC